rnacentral:rRNA from 1 species
GCGUGAGUGAUGAAGGCCUUCGGGUUGUAAAGCUCUUUCGCCCACGACGAUGGUGACGGUAGUGGGAGAAGAAGCCCCGGCUAACUUCGUGCCAGCAGCCGCGGUAAUACGAAGGGGGCUAGCGUUGUUCGGAGUUACUGGGCGUAAAGGGCGCGUAGGCGGCCCUCCAAGUCGGGUGUGAAAGCCCACGGCUCAACCGUGGAAUUGCACUCGAGACUGAAGGGCUUGAGGACGGGAGAGGAUGGUGGAAUUCCCAGUGUAGAGGUGAAAUUCGU